rnacentral:rRNA from 1 species
AUGGCUAAUACCGCAUAAUGCUUUUGUUUGUAAUGAACGGGAGCCAAAGAGGGGGACCUUCGGGCCUCUCGCGUCAAGAUAUGCCCAGGUGGGAUUAGCUAGUUGGUGAGGUAAUGGCUCACCAAGGCGACGAUCCCUAGCUGGUCUGAGAGGAUGAUCAGCCACACUGGAACUGAGACACGGUCCAGACUCCUACGGGAGGCAGCAGUGGGGAAUAUUGCACAAUGGGCGCAAGCCUGAUGCAGCCAUGCCGCGUGUAUGAAGAAGGCCUUCGGGUUGUAAAGUACUUUCAGCAGUGAGGAAGGUGGAUGUGUUAAUAGCGCAUUCAUUUGACGUUAGCUGCAGAAGAAGCACCGGCUAACUCCGUGCCAGCAGCCGCGGUAAUACGGAGGGUGCGAGCGUUAAUCGGAAUUACUGGGCGUAAAGCGCAUGCAGGUGGAUGAUUAAGUCAGAUGUGAAAGCCCGGGGCUCAACCUCGGAAUAGCAUUUGAAACUGGUCAUCUAGAGUACUGUAGAGGG